rnacentral:rRNA from 1 species
AUUGAACGCUUGCGGGAUGCCUUACACAUGCAAGUCGAACGGAGUGGCGAACGGGUGAGUAAUGUAUCGGAACGUGCCCAGUAGCGGGGGAUAACUACGCGAAAGCGUAGCUAAUACCGCAUACUAUUGGAGCGGCCGUAAUCGGAUUAGCUAGUGGGUGGGGGAACGGCUCACCAAGGCGACGAUCCGUAGCUGGUUUGAGAGGACGACUAGCCACACUGGGACUGAGACACGGCCAAGACUCCUCCGGGAGGAAGCAGUGGGGAAUUUUGGACAAUGGGGGAAACCCUGAUCCAGCCAUGCCGCGUGUGCGAUGAAGGCCUUCGGGUUGUAAAGCACUUUUGGCAGGAAAGCGGUACCUACAGAAUAAGCACCGGCUAACUACGUGCCAGCAGCCGCGGUAAUUC